rnacentral:rRNA from 1 species
AACGAACGCUGGCGGCAGGCCUAACACAUGCAAGUCGAACGAGAAGCCACCUUCGGGUGGUGGACAGUGGCAGACGGGUGAGUAACGCGUGGGAACGUGCCUUUCGGUUCGGGAUAACCCAGGGAAACUUGGGCUAAUACCGGAUACGCCCUCCGGGGGAAAGAUUCAUUGCCGAAGGAUCGGCCCGCGCCGGAUUAGCUAGUUGGUGGGGUAAAAGCCUACCAAGGCGACGAUCCGUAGCUGGUCUGAGAGGAUGACCAGCCACACUGGGACUGAGACACGGCCCAGACUCCUACGGGAGGCAGCAGUGGGGAAUAUUGGACAAUGGGCGCAAGCCUGAUCCAGCCAUGCCGCGUGGGUGAAGAAGGCCUUAGGGUUGUAAACCCCUUUCAGCGGGGAAGAUAAUGACGGUACCCGCAGAAGAAGCCCCGGCUAACUCCGUGCCAGCCGCCGCGGUAA